rnacentral:rRNA from 1 species
GUGGGGAAUAUUGGACAAUGGGCGAAAGCCUGAUCCAGCAAUGCCGCGUGUAGGAAGAAGGCCUUCGGGUUGUAAACUGCUUUUGUACGGAACGAAACGGUCCGGGUUAAUACCCUGGGCUAAUGACGGUACCGUAAGAAUAAGCACCGGCUAACUACGUGCCAGCAGCCGCGGUAAUACGUAGGGUGCAAGCGUUAAUCGGAAUUACUGGGCGUAAAGCGUGCGCAGGCGGUUUUGUAAGACAGGCGUGAAAUCCCCGGGCUCAACCUGGGAAUUGCGCUUGUGACUGCAAGGCUGGAGUGCGGCAGAGGGGGAUGGAAUUCCGCGUGUAGCAGUGAAAUGCGUAGAUAUGCGGAGGAACACCGAUGGCGAAGGCAAUCCCCUGGGCCUGCACUGACGCUCAUGCACGAAAGCGUGGGGAGCAAACAGGAUUAGAUACCCCGGUAGUCC